rnacentral:rRNA from 1 species
AUUGAACGCUGGCGGCAUGCCUUACACAUGCAAGUCGAACGGCAGCACGGGUGCUUGCACCUGGUGGCGAGUGGCGAACGGGUGAGUAAUACAUCGGAACGUACCUUAUCGUGGGGGAUAACGCAGCGAAAGCUGUGCUAAUACCGCAUACGCCCUGAGGGGGAAAGCGGGGGAUCGAAAGACCUCGCGCGACUAGAGCGGCCGAUGCCUGAUUAGCUUGUUGGUGGGGUAAAAGCCCACCAAGGCGACGAUCAGUAGCUGGUCUGAGAGGACGAGCGGCCACACGGGGACUGAGACACGCCCCAGCCUCCUACGGGAGGCAGCAGCGGGGAAUUUUGGACAAUGGGGGCAACCCUGAUCCAGCAAUGCCGCGUGAGUGAAGAAGGCCUUCGGGUUGUAAAGCUCUUUUGUCAGGGAAGAAACACCGGCUCUAACACAGUCCGGGAAUGACGGUACCUGAAGAAUAAGCACCGGCUAACUACGUGCCAGCAGCCGCCGUAA